rnacentral:rRNA from 1 species
ACGUAGGACGCAAGCGUUAUCCGGAAUUACUGGGCGUAAAGGGCGUGUAGGCGGCACGGUAAGUCAACCGUGAAAGCUCCCGGCUAAACUGGGAGAGGUCGGAUGAGACUGCCGAGCUAGAGGGUCGUAGAGGGGUGUGGAAUUCCGGGUGUAGUGGUGAAAUGCGUAGAGAUGUGGAGGAACACCGAUGGCGAAGGCAGCCCCCUGGAUGACACUGACGCUCAUGUACGAAAGCGUGGGUAGCAAACAG